CUCCCUCAACCCCGCGGGUUUGGUGUUGAGCAAUACGCCAGGUUUGUUUGAAAGACGUACGUGGAGACAAUAUUAGCGACUUAGGUUCUACCAAAACGCUUGUGCAGUCGGUCCCACACACAGUGUAAGCUAACA
rnacentral:misc_RNA from 1 species